rnacentral:tRNA from 1 species
GGGGUUGUGGCUCAGCGGUAGAGCACUCUCCUAGCACGUGUGCGACCCUGUGUUCAAUCCUCAGCACCACA